rnacentral:sRNA from 1 species
GACGCCGAUUCGACAACACAUGUCAGCAAAAUAAUCGGUCCUGAGAGUAAAAUCAACGAUGCCGAGAACAAGAUAGAGAACAAGAUAGGCAGUGCUGAGAAUCAAGAUUCUCUCGGCAUUCCAUCACGACAGCAAUUGACAAGUUGAUUCCCGAUGGGCGAAUUCAUCGAAAGAAUACUUAAUCGCGCAGAUCUGUGCUUUCUCUACAUCUGUUUAGAACAAACUUGCACUCAUAGUCUAUUAGAAGAUCCAAGAAUCAAUAUCAAGAAUACUUUCUUAUCAAGAAAAACCCCAAAACUAAAAACUCCACCAACCUCAAAAUGAAGGCCUUCUACUCUUUCGCUCUCCUCAUCGCCGCUGCCCUUGUCUCUGCCGCACCCAAUGGCAAGCCCGCCGGCAAACUCAUCCCCAAGGCUGAAGUUGAUGGUGGCCGCGAGUACAUCUACUACGUUGUUCCCUCUGCUGAAGAUGAUGAGGCUUAUUAGAUGAAUACUCUGACAAGUAGAAUGGAAAAGAUAGCGUUCUCUCGUUGGGUAGCUAGGGGUGCAGGAUGGAGGCGGGCCGGCGGGGGCCGGAAAGGGGGAUAAUGUAUCUAGUGCAUAGUUUCUAUCUAUAUGUGGAGGGAUUCCGUGAUUGACAUGUCAGCAUGUCCCGAAACAGAUUUGCUAAGGAAACAGAUAGAAACUCAAAUCCAACUGGGUU